AGCACUUGUGCAGGCUCAGGUUGUGUCGCACUGCGUUCUGAUCCAGAGAAAAUCAAAGUGAAGGAGAGAUUACUGAGUGCACGCUGCAGGAAUCAGGGAUUGGAUCCCUACCUGAAGCUCGAGCUGCUGAACCACCUGCAUCUGAACUCUGCACUGGGCUGUACUCCUGUCGUCCAGAGUGUGUUCACUGCCCAUGUGCCUGGAACACAACACAACACAACAUGUGGCGGAGCACAAAGCAAACAAACAAAACAUCCCUGCCGCCUCCCCCAGGGGGAAUUAAAAGUGAAGUCUUGCUGCGAGAGCAAACAGUCUAACAGAUGACACGUCUGUGAUGUUGACACAAAUAAAAAAGCAGCAGCAUCAUCUCAGCAAACAG